AAUCUGCGAUAAGCGUCGGUAAGGUGAUAUGAACCGUUAUAGCCGACGAUUUCCGAAUGGGGAAACCCAGUGUGUUUCGACACACUAUCGUUAAGUGAAUACAUAGCUUAACGAAGCGAACCGGGGGAACUGAAACAUCUAAGUACCCCGAGGAAAAGAAAUCAACCGAGAUUCCCCUAGUAGCGGCGAGCGAACGGGGAGCAGCCCAGAGUCUGAAUCAGCGUAUGUGUUAAUGGAACGGUCUGGAAAGUCCGGCGAUACAGGGUGAUAGCCCCGUACAUGAAAAUGCAUAUGUUGUGAACUCGAAGAGUAGGGCGGGACACGUGGUAUCCUGUCUGAAUAUGGGGGGACCAUCCUCCAAGGCUAAAUACUCCUGACUGACCGAUAGUGAAC
rnacentral:rRNA from 1 species